rnacentral:rRNA from 1 species
GCUUGCUCCCGGAUGUUAGCGGCGGACGGGUGAGUAACACGUGGGUAACCUGCCUGUAAGACUGGGAUAACUCCGGGAAACCGGAGCUAAUACCGGAUAGUUCCUUGAACCGCAUGGUUCAAGGAUGAAAGACGGUUUCGGCUGUCACUUACAGAUGGACCCGCGGCGCAUUAGCUAGUUGGUGGGGUAAUGGCUCACCAAGGCGACGAUGCGUAGCCGACCUGAGAGGGUGAUCGGCCACACUGGGACUGAGACACGGCCCAGACUCCUACGGGAGGCAGCAGUAGGGAAUCUUCCGCAAUGGACGAAAGUCUGACGGAGCAACGCCGCGUGAGUGAUGAAGGUUUUCGGAUCGUAAAGCUCUGUUGUUAGGGAAGAACAAGUGCGAGAGUAACUGCUCGCACCUUGACGGUACCUAACCAGAAAGCCACGGCUAACUACGUGCCAGCAGCCGCGGUAAUACGUAGGUGGCAAGCGUUGUCCGGAAUUAUUGGGCGUAAAGGGCUCGCAGGCGGUUUCUUAAGUCUGAUGUGAAAGCCCCCGGCUCAACCGGGGAGGGUCAUUGGAAACUGGGAAACUUGAGUGCAGAAGAGGAGAGUGGAAUUCCACGUGUAGCGGUGAAAUGCGUAGAGAUGUGGAGGAACACCAGUGGCGAAGGCGACUCUCUGGUCUGUAACUGACGCUGAGGAGCGAAAGCGUGGGGAGCGAACAGGAUUAGAUACCCUGGUAGUCCACGCCGUAAACGAUGAGUGCUAAGUG